UACGUAGGGUGCGAGCGUUAAUCGGAAUUACUGGGCGUAAAGCGUGCGCAGGCGGCUAGAUAAGACAGAUGUGAAAUCCCCGGGCUUAACCUGGGAACUGCGUUUGUGACUGUCUAGCUCGAGUACGGCAGAGGGGGGUGGAAUUCCUGGUGUAGCAGUGAAAUGCGUAGAUAUCAGGAGGAACACCGAUGGCGAAGGCAGCCCCCUGGGCCUGUACUGACGCUCAUGCACGAAAGCGUGGGGAGCAAACAGG
rnacentral:rRNA from 1 species